rnacentral:rRNA from 1 species
AUACGGAGGGUCCAAGCGUUAUCCGGAAUCAUUGGGUUUAAAGGGUCCGCAGGCGGUCAAUUAAGUCAGAAGUGAAAGCCCAUCGCUCAACGAUGGAACUGCCUUUGAUACUGGUUGACUUGAGUUAUACGGAAGUAGAUAGAAUAAGUAGUGUAGCGGUGAAAUGCAUAGAUAUUACUUAGAAUACCGAUUGCGAAGGCAGUCUACUACGUAUAUACUGACGCUGAGGGACGAAAGCGUGGGGAGCGAACAGGAUUAGAUACCCUAGUAGUCC